UUGCUGGCGUAGACAGAGGCGCUGGCGUAGCUAGCACUGCUAGGGUAGACGUUGUUGUAUUCAUAAGCUUUCUUGAUGGGGUAGACAGAGGCGCUGGCGUAGUUAUCUUUGUUGGCAUAGACAGAGGCGCUGGGGUAGUUAUCUUUGCUGGCGUAGCUAUCUUUGCUGGCGUAGACAGAGGCGCUGGCGUAGUUAUCUUUGUUGGUAUAG